rnacentral:lncRNA from 1 species
AUAUCAAGUUGUCAUUUAACUCAUUCUUUUUUAAGUCAUUUGCCACUGCCAUUGAUGCCACGAGACACAAGCUUCCUGUGAAGAACGUGGACAUCGGAGAGGACGCAGGCCAGUUUUUAGGUCAGAUUUGUGGGGUGGAUACUAUUUUAUAAUUUGAUGUACUUUCUAUUUGCAAAUGUUUUGUCAAUUCAAAUGAUGAUUUUAGAUUUUAUAGUGAUUCCAACCUGAUUUAUUGAAUAAUUUUUCUCUUACACAGACAAAGCUGUUGAAUGUCUGAAUCAGAGUGCACAAGUCUUGCAACACUAUACAAAGGACAUGCCCACUGAGUGUGAGGCUUCAACGGAGUGUCUUAGAGAGAUGAACAAUACAGCUAAUGAAAUCAGCCAACAGUUGACAAGGACUUUUUCGGAUCUUCUGGAGGUGUCUUCAUUAGAAAGCCGGGAGACAGUUUUGAUCCAGCAGUCACUGGAGGAAGACAAGCUCGGACAGAGCACAGCCCAGACACUCUUCUGUCCCUCCACGUCAUGAUUAUACAUUGUAUGAAUAUCACAUCGGUUUGCAAUUAAAUAAUUAAAGUAUGUAAAAAAAAAAUCAAUGAAUUGUAGGUAUUUAUUUCAUACAUUGCUAC